AACUCUGCCUCCCGGGUUCAAGCAAUUCUCUUGCCUCAGCCUCCCGAGUAGCUGGGAUUACAGGCAUGUGCCACCAUGCUCAGCUAAUUUUGUACUUUUAGUAGAGACGGGGUUUCUCCAUGUUGGUCAGGCUUGUCUCGAACUCCCAACCUCUGGUAAUCCACCCACCUUGGCCUCCCAAAGUGCUGGGAUUACAGGCAUGAGCCACCGCGCCCGGCCCACUCUUUAAAGUUCAGAUCACUCCUUUCCCCUGCUUAAAUCCCCUCCACCCACCAAACUCCCAGCUUCCACCUCCCUGCUUCCAAACUGAGCAGCUUGUGAUUCCCAAACAAAACCCAGGAUCUCCACUGCCCAGCUUUUGCUCAGUGUGAUUUUGUUAUGCAUGGAACACCCACACCCAUCUGCUCAUCUUAUUUUUUUCCAAUCUUUUUUUAUUGUGAUAAAAUACAUAUAAUGUAAAAUUUACUAUCUUAACCAUUUUAAAGUAUAUGGUUUAGUGGCACUAAGUACAUUCACAUUGUUGUGCAACCAUCACCACCAUCCAUCUCCUGAGCCUUUUCCUUUUACAAAACUGGAACUCUGUACCCAUUAAGCAAUAAUUCUCUAUUUUCCUUUUCCCAGCAACCAUCAUUCUACUGUCUCUUUGAUUUUGACUACUCUAAGCAUUUCAGAUGAGUAGAAUCAUACUUGUCUUUUUGUGACUGGCUGAUUUCACUUAGCAUAAUAUAGAUGUCCUGAAGGUUCAUCUGUGUUGUAGCAUAUGUUAGAACAUCCUUUUUAAGGCUGAAUAUUAUUCCACCGUGUAUAUUGUGUGUACUCCAUUUUGCUUAUCCAUUCAUCUGUUGAUAGGCACUCAGGUUGAUUCCAUGUUUUAGCUAUUGUGAAUAAUGCUAUGUACAUACGUGUGCAAGAAUCUCUUGGAGACCCCUACUCACCUAGUUUUUUUUUUAAUUUAAUUUUAUUUUUUUAAGAUGGAGUCUCACUCUGUCACCCAGGCUGGAGUGCAGUGGUGCCAUCUUGGUUCACUACAACCUCCACUUCCCGGGUUCAAGUGAUUCUCCUGCCUCAACCUCCCAAGUAGCUGGGAUUAUAGGUGUGUGCCACCACACCCGGCUAAUUUUUGUAUUUUUAGUAGAGACGGGGUUUCACCAUGUUGGCCAGGCUGGUCUCGAACUCCUGACCUCAAGUGAUCCACCCACCUCGGCCUCCCAAACUGCUGGAAUUACAGGUGUGAGCCACCGUGCAGGGCCACUCACCUGAUGUUAGACUUUCUCCACGAAGUCACUUAUUAACCUUAAUCUCCUCCACUUGACCGGCCUCUGUUUUGUUCCAGCAGCCAUUUUUCAGAUACCUGGUACGCACAAGCAGGGCCCAGCUUGGGAGACGCUAGGAUAACUAAGACCUGGUCAGCGCCCUGAGGAGUCUUGUCUGGAUAAAGGGAGACACACACUAGCUUGGACUUAUGCGUGCAGCGGAGCUGUGUAGAGCAGGAGUGCGUGGAGAGGGCAGCAAUGAACUUUGGCUGGAGAGCCAGAGAAAGCUUCGUGAGCUGGAACACGGGGUAAAGUAGGAGCUUUCCAGGGCGGAGGGGACUUCUGAAGUGGAGGAAACUGCCUGUUCAGGACAUGGAGGUAGGGAUCAAAGUUCUGAGUCAUGUGGGUGGGCACAGAGCAGAGGAUGGCUGGGGCGUGCAAAAUGGGGAGGUGGUCCAUGAGAGCACGAGUCCAAAACCAGGUGUUAUCCAUCAAAACGAGGCCUGUCCCGGCGUGCUAAGAAGGUUCUGCUUCUUGAUCUGGGUGCCUGCCUCAGAGGUGUGUGUCAUUAUGGAAAUUCACUGAGCUAUACACUUAUAACUUCAUAUAUGUACAUUCAUGGUAGUUGUACUUGCUUAAAAUUUGCUUUUAAGUCCCCCCCCACCCCCACCAACCCCGAUACCUCUUUUGUAAGACUAAACUCUGGGGAUCCAGUCCAAUCUCAGCUCUAGGGCCUUGGGGAGGAAAUUUCAAUGAAUUAGUUUCUUCACCUGUAAAAUGCGGAUGAUUGUAUUGUCAUCACAAGGGCUGUGUGCAGCGCCAGCAACUCGAGAUACGUAAAGCAUUUAAAUAGUGCUUCCUCUGCCCCUCUCAGCAGUAUCAAAUUUCUAAUGAUUGGCAGUGUCUGGCACAGAGGAGCUCAAUGUAAUUCACUGAAUAAACGAACGAAUGAGCUCAAAGUAUGAUUUUUUUUUUUUUUUGGCACCGGGAGGUAGCUUGAACAAAUGCAGGGGUGUGGGUUGGAGUGGCGUGUCUCUACUAAAG
rnacentral:lncRNA from 1 species